rnacentral:rRNA from 1 species
UACAGGAGGUCUCAAGCGUUGUUCGGAAUCACUGGGCGUAAAGGGUGCGUAGGCCGCACGGUAAGUCCAGGGUGUGAAAGCCCGGAGCUCAACUCCGGAAUUGCACCCGAUACUGCCGUGCUUGAGGACUGGAGAGGAGUCUGGAAUUCACAGUGGAGCAGUGAAAUGCGUAGAUAAUUGUGAGGAACACUAGUGGCGAAGGCGAGACUCUGGACAGUUCCUGACGGCUGAGGCAACGGAAGGCCCAGGGGAGCAAACGGG